rnacentral:lncRNA from 1 species
GGAAAGUGUGGGGCUUGGUUCACAUCCACUCAUGGUAACACUCAGAUCUGUUUUGUUAACUAUUGGCGAUUGCAUCUGCAAGUGAUCCUAGAUCCCUAGGACAAGCAUUUUAUCUAUCUUAUGCACACCUUUAGUCUCUCUACCUGCUUUGAUCUAGAUUGGUUAGAUUAGUUAGAUCAAUCUCAUACACCAAGUGCUUUUGGUUACUUAGAUUAAUACCUAGUUAAGAGUGCAAAUCCACUUGUUCCAUGGAUUGAUAAACCUUGGAGAAGUACUCUGAGGGAAGAGCUACAACUGAUUUGUGUGCUCGCGGUUCACAAAUU